GCCCCCAUAGUUUAACGGAUAAAACAGUGGUUUCCUAAACCGUAGAUCUAGGUUCGAUUCCUGGUGGGGGCGCCA
rnacentral:tRNA from 1 species